rnacentral:rRNA from 1 species
GUGGGUGGCAAGCGUUGUCCGGAAUUAUUGGGCGUAAAGCGCGCGCAGGCGGUCCUUUAAGUCUGAUGUGAAAGCCCACGGCUCAACCGUGGAGGGUCAUUGGAAACUGGGGGACUUGAGUACAGAAGAGGAAAGCGGAAUUCCAAGUGUAGCGGUGAAAUGCGUAGAGAUUUGGAGGAACACCAGUGGCGAAGGCGGCUUUCUGGUCUGUAACUGACGCUGAGGCGCGAAAGCGUGGGGAGCAAACAGGGAUUAGAUACCCUGUAGUCCACGCCGUAAACGAUGAGUGCUAAGUGUUAGGGGGUUUCCCGCCCCUUAGUGCUGCAGCUAACGCAUUAAGCACUCCGCCUGGGGAGUACGGCCGCAAGGCUG